UACUCUCCGGAGUGACGGGUACACUGUGGGGACCGCCGCUAGCUAAAGCGGAGGAAGGAAUGGGCAACGGUAGGUCAGUAUGCCCCGAAUAUCCCGGGCUACACGCGAGCUACAAUGGUUGGUACAAAUGGGUAUCUACCCCGAAAGGGGACGGGAAUCUCCUAAAACCAAUCUUAGUUCGGAUUGAGGGCUGCAACUCGCCCUCAUGAAGCUGGAAUCCGUAGUAAUCGCGUUUCAACAGAACGCGGUGAAUACGUCCCUGCUCCUU
rnacentral:rRNA from 1 species